UACGUAGGGGGCUAGCGUUGUCCGGAAUUAUUGGGCGUAAAGCGCACGUAGGCGGCUUUCUAAGUCAGGGGUGAAAUCCUGGAGCUCAACUCCAGAACUGCCUUUGAUACUGGAGAGCUUGAGUCCGGAAGAGGUGAGUGGAACUCCGAGUGUAGAGGUGAAAUUCGUAGAUAUUCGGAAGAACACCAGUGGCGAAGGCGGCUCACUGGUCCGGUACUGACGCUGAUGUGCGAAAGCGUGGGGAGCAAACAGG
rnacentral:rRNA from 1 species